GUUGAGGGAAGGUUGGACGAAAGAAUUGACGUAAGAGGGGAGAGGGAACCUUACGAUUCUGUUAGAUAGUAGAGAUUCACCUGUUGUAGAAUUAACUCUCGACCGUAAAAAAACUAUCGAAUCACAAAGCGAAAACCUCCGAACCAGUAAUGGCGGGCUCAUCCUCCCCACACCCAAAUCCCCUCCCCACUCCCGCAGUCCCCUCCCAAUCCCUCACUCCCACGCCCCCGACCCUCGGCGCAGAUGGCGCCGUCGGUGCCGAGGAAGAAGCGCAAGGUGAGCCUCCCGAAGAACGAGGAGGUCACGGCCAGGAUCUUCGAGAAGCACCGCUCCAUGGCGGCGCAGCAGCCGGCCAGCCUCCUAGACCACCAGGCUCGCGCGCUCUGCGCCGCCUACACCGGUGUCUACGCCGCCAAGGAGCCCGUCCGGACCCCCGGCGACCUGGCCCGUCUCAAGGGAGUUGGAGGUUGGGUUGUUGACGUCAUGGAAGACUCCUUUCAGGGUCCAGCCUUGAUUUGUCCCCUUCGAGAAGUAAUACACCAGGAGAAACGGGCCCCGUUCCAGAAGAAAAGUUGUUGAUAAUAUACGCUCGCAGUUUAAUAUUCCUGUAGAGAUUAAACACUUGCCUGUUGGAGAUGCUCUUUGGAUUGCUCGCCAUAAAGAACUUGACAUGGAGUAUGUUCUUGAUUUCAUUGUUGAAAGAAAAAAUGUGGAUGAUUUUCUUGGCUCAAUUAAAGACAACAGAUACAAAGAUCAAAAACUAAGACUGAAGAAAUGUGGGUUAAGGAAGCUAAUAUAUCUAGUUGAAGGGGAUGUAAACACUGUAGAUGGAUCAGAGAGCGUUAAAACGGCCUGCUUCACUACUGAGCUUCUUGAAGGAUUUGAUGUCUAGAGAACCACUAGGUAUGAUGACACUGAAAAUAAAUACGGCCACCUCACGGGCUCUAUAAUUAAUUAUUACAGCAUGAACUUCUCUGCUGGCGCUGAUACCUCUCGACUUUGCCUGACCUACGAUGAGUUUGUGAAGAGGUGUUCUGACCUUGAGAAGGUCACUCUGAGCGAUAUAUUCGCCCUUCAGCUUAUGCAGGUGCCACAAGUGACAGAAGAAGAUGCUCUUGCUGUCACGAGUCUCUACCCCACUCUUCUCUCGCUUGCUAAGGUGUACACCAUGCUUGAUGGCGAUAGGCGUGCCUAGGAGGAGAUGCUGAAGAACAAGAGCGGCAUGGUCAAUGCGGGGGCUAGCAAGAACAUUUUCAAACUCAUCUGGGCGGAAGGAUGAACACCCAUACUUGACCGGUCUUUUGGUCACCACCGCGGUGAUUUCGGGCCGCCUACGCAAGUUCCCAAGGCGAAGACAGGAGGGACCCUUUUUGUGCUGUGCCUGGUGCCUUGGAGAACUGAAAGUCACUCAACAUGUAACCACCACCUAAAAGAACGCCUUAGCGCAGCCUCGCUCCCCAUUUAAAUUACUACUCGUACGUAGUAGAAUUGCAUGCCCCAAAGUUAUGGAGUCGUAGUGUUAAUGUAGCGCAUUAGCGCUUCGUGUGUAUAUGUAUAUAUACUAAUAUUAGCUCUUGACUCGGUUGCUUGGAUCAUGUGUUGUCUCGUGUUAUCUCGACCUUGCUUGUAUGGAAACAGACAAGGCAGGUACUAGAAUUUAGCCUGCUGGCAAAGUGAGCGUAGACUCACUAGAGCCCAUGGUUUCCGAUCCAUGUGCUUGAUGGAACCUGAAAGC
rnacentral:rRNA from 1 species